rnacentral:rRNA from 1 species
GUCUACAGCCAUGCUACCCUAAACAUGCCUGAUCCCGUCUGAUCUCGGAAGCUAAGCAGGGUCGGGCCUGGUUAGUACUUAGAUGGGAGACCACCUAGGAAGACCAGGUCUGUAGGAG